CGCCCACAAACACCCUCGCCGCCAUGUGCUCGAGCUGAGUUGGUCACGUGGGUUGGUUACACAGGAAGCUUCCUCUCUUCUCUGCAGACCUGUCUAUUGCAGGACGAGAGGCUCACUCUCAUAGCCAGAGAUUACAUGAAGACAUUUUAAAACUCUGUGUUAUAGCUCUGGAGACAAACAUCUUGCCAUUUACAGUAGAUCUCUGAAACAUGUAGUUACCCUCCAGCUAUCCAUCCACAAUGCUCAGACCAGUUUGGUUGCUUACCUCCUGAACUGAGGAAUGGGAGCACUGUAACAGACCAGGGAAGACUCAACUCCAAACAAGGUUCAGUACUGUAACAGACCAGGGACAGCCUCUAGGGAACACAUCACCCUGAAGCAGGUUCAGUACUGUAACAGACCAGGGACAGCCUCUAGGGAAUACAUCACCCUGAAGCAG
ensembl:lncRNA